GAUGAAGAACGUAGCAAAAUGCGAUAAGUAAUGUGAAUUGCAGAAUUCAGUGAAUCAUCGAAUCUUUGAACGCACAUUGCGCCCGCCAGUAUUCUGGCGGGCAUGCCUGUUCGAGCGUCAUUUCAACCCUCAAGCACAGCUUGGUGUUGGGACUCGCGAUAAUUCGCGUUCCUCAAAUUGAUUGGCGGUCACGUCGAGCUUCCAUAGCGUAGUAGUAAAACCCUCGUUACUGGUAAUCGUCGCGGCCACGCCGUUAAACCCCAACUUCUGAAUGUUGACCUCGGAUCAGGUAGGAAUACCCGCUGAACUUAAGCAUAUCAAUAAGCGGAGGA
rnacentral:misc_RNA from 1 species